UCCUAAGCUAUAAACGUGUAAGAUUAUGAAGUUGUCCUAUCAGUUCGUUUUUAGAUAUCAGCAAGAAGUUUUGUGGGUAAGAAAGUUUUCAGUAAGCUGAAGAGUCUUGUGCUUAGAAAGCUUAUCUUCUGCAAGCGAGAAAGAAGAACCAGAACACCACGGCUGCACCAGAGAUCGAGGUAAUCCUGCCAUCGAGAGGACAUGGAAAGGGGGGCGUCGCUGAACCUGUGCAGAUGGGUUGAAGUUGUGCUGGCGAGACGGCAUGUUGCAUAGCUGCCAAGCUAAUGACCGAGACGCUUGAUCCAUACUCGGCCAGGAAGAAAGAGCAGCUUCUAUUUGUGCUUCCACCUUCCCACGGUGGUACUGGUGUUCCAUACGGCGAGCGGCAGCUUUGCUAGCUCCUGCACUAUUCAUGCUUCCAUAUCAAGAGUUGGCUGCAGGUCUGGUCAUCCAGAUCAGGGGCCAGCAGCAUUUGAUUCCCGUGGUAAAAAGAGGCGCCCGCUCCUAAUGCAUACCUGCUGCGGCUGCAAGGAAAGGGGAAAAUUGGGAGAUGAGUAGGAAAGAGGCAGGGGGAGAAAGCCAUCAACCUUAUUAGCGGGGGAACGCACCAGCGACCGAAGGCGGCGCGGUUCAUCUCGACGACGGCGGCACACCCGCGCUCGCGCGGGAGGAUGACCACACUGCGGAGGAGUCGCACAGGGCAGGGAGAGCCCGUGACCGGCGAGCGACCUAGGAUAGAACCCCAUGCACUCCAUGGAGAAAUCGGCGGCGCUGGAUCGGACAUCAACAGGGCAGAGCUCACGCUGUAUUCAAUGGGAGGGGCGUCGGGAGAGAAGGAGCCGGGAUUAUGGCGCAGCCGAGAUGGAAGACACACAUGGAGUGGGGCGUUUUUAUAGAGCCAAACAGCGGCCAAGCGGUGGAACGGGCUUUACGGGAUCCUUCGAGAGACCAGGCGAAAUAUCUCGAGAGAGAGUCAAAGAGGACAGGUGGUGGAGAGAGACCGAAGCCAAUCCACGCGUCGUACGCUUCCUACUCCUGAGAUUUCUACUCCAGACAAGUUUGACUGGUAGAUGGUCAAAGCGGUGGGGGUAGAACGUGGCAAACCAAGGGAAUGGAACACCCUGUCACACGCAUCAAUUCUAUAGCAGCAGUAAAAAGUUCAAAAAAACCAGAAAAAUCGAACCCUUACAGGCCUAGUAUUCUUAGUAUAUUUGAUACAGCCAUCACAUCUCAUACAUCAUCGCAUCUCAUACAGGCAUCACAUCUCAUACAACCAUCGCAUGAACAGUUUACUCCUAAUGCGAUUGCUUUCACAGAAAAGUAUGAGGCCCAACCCACAUGAGAAAGCCAAUGCACGUGACUGCACUUUAACCUGUUACAGUGAAAGAGUAGAUGCAAUUUUAGAUGGCUUUCACAUAACUGGAGAAAAGAUUCAGAAGUAGGCAAGCAUGCUAACCAUCAAUAAGAGAAAACUGAUUUCUAACUUCUAAGAGUAUAUAACCAGGAGAUCCAAAUACCUAUUCUCUCAAAGCACCACUUCUUCCCAUAGGCAUCACACUGUAUCAAUGUUAUGACAAAAGGGCAGUUUCAACACCCUACAGAAGAGAUGGUGCAGACACUAACGGUUAAACGCUUACAGAGGUUUAUGCACAAGGAGAAAACUGUGUAUAUUGUGAUGAAACUGCAAGUAAACUACCAAGUCAAACAAAAUCGUGUGUAUGCGCCUCAGGACAUCCAAAAUUGUAUGCGCUUCAGGACAUCCAAAAUCGUGUGCUUCUGUUUGCAGGCAUAGUGAGCGCAGAAGAAUACAAGUCUGUUCAAAGCAACAGAAUGUAUUAGUUACUUGACAAGCCAGAUGAGUUUCUGUAGUUACCUAUUUUUGUUCUAUCAAUUCGUAAGAUAAUGCAUCAUCUCAAUCUGAUAGGUGUAAAUGAUCAUGUAAUCUAAUAACAGUAUCGAUGUUUGGCUUUGUUUGGCGACUGGAAUUUUCUAUUGCGGAAAGUUACUGAUCAUGGUACAUUAGAAUCGCCAAACUGAACAGGUGGAUUCAGUACAUUAUUGAAUAUACAUCAGUUCCUUCUGCGCUUUUACAAAUGUAGUUUUGGAAAAUCACACACAAACUAUUCAGUUUCUUACUCCUCAUCAACCGAAUGCAGCUCUGUAAGCUAACCGGAUCAGCUAUUGUUUUCUUUAAGUUCAUUUUUUAGCGCCAAUGGAGCAUGACGUUUGAAGAUAUGGAGGCGCCAAAUCUGUGCCGACCCCCUAUUGGUGAUGCCUCUAAUGGAGCCCCUCUUGGUGACAUCUCUAAUGUUGAUCAUCAUUCCCGAAUGACUCCAGUGCCAAUGCCAGGUAAUUGCGAGCAUAACUUCUUACUAUUUAUCACAAUGAGCAUACAUAUAGUUGAUGAGGUUUUUCUACUGUUAUUAAAUGGCUGUAACAUUUGUAGCCUCACACGACCUUACCCCUUAUGGAUCUCACUGCCAAAGGGUAAAUCUUGCUAGCAAUACCAACAUAGCAAGGAAAAAGAAACGAUCAAUGCGAAAAAUGCCAAUUGAUGCCAUCUUAGCGGCAUCUCCACUAUCAAUCAACUCCCCAAAUGGAGUACAGGUAUAAAAAUUGCACGACACAACCAAAAGGGCAAUUCUUAAUGUCUAAUGUCUGGAGGUACUCUUCAUUGGUUUUAAUUGUCUUUCUACUCAUUUCAGUAAAAUUGUUCCACAGGAACUAUCGCAGACUGCGACAUCUGACCUUAACAUGCCAGAUACGGUUCAUGAUGAUGGAGAACAUAACAGGAACUCAUCAAUAGAAAAAGGGGCAUUCUAAACAGAAAAAGGAGAAAAAAGAAAAGGAAAGCACAUCACUCCCAGCCUAACGGUCAAACGUGUUUAUGAACAUGAUGCAUUGAGGGGACAGUUAAAAGUCACAAAAGGUAAAUGUGUCCCCAGUUUUGAAUGAUUACAUACUUGCUAAAUUACUUCUUCUUAAAGUUGUUACUGCUGCUGCUGAUGGAUCCACUUAAUGAAUUAGACUAACUAUUUGUUUUGGAUUGUACAUGAGCUAUCAUUCUGGUACAUCUACUAAUAUUUUUUUGGUACCUUUGUUUGUAUGUGAACGUUCUAUACAUGCCAUAUACUAUGAAAGAACAGUAUGUACAUGCCGUAUACUUUUGUUUGUGUCAGACUUUCAUGUCUUAGUCUGAUCCUAUCACUCUCCCUAUAUGUCGUUCAAAGACAUCCAUAUGAACCUAUAUGUCGUGGAAGUGCAUACGUACUUCUCAGUUCUUAUAGAGAACGGAAACUGGGUGGCAUGUGUUAUCAGAAGUUGUGUAUAAUCAUUUAUGGAAAUAUCAAAAAUUAAAAAUCCCAUGAAUUUGGAAUAGGGAAAUUCAAGUAGGUAGGAAGUACUGACAUACCAAGGAAUAAUAAAGAAUAGCACCACUGCAGCUACAAAAUCACAAUCAUUUGUUCAAGGAUCUGAACUCAAUUCACCCUGAAAAACAAUUAGUCAUCUUAAGUCAGACUGCAUGAUAGUCGGAUGGGAUCGAAAGCAAUUGACUGUCAAGGAAUGUACCCGUCUGCACCUGCCUGCACCCGACACAACCAUCGCCUUCACCACUGCUGCAUCGCCUCCGAACUCCUUGGUGAAGAUACUGAAGCUAAUAGGAGAACUAAUGAGUAAGCCAAAUGCAAAAUCGAAGAGAGAUUAUCUCUACAAAGCAGAUGAUAUGGGAAAACAGGACCAACUGCAAGGAGAGGAAAAAUCACAAAUAGCAGUUAAAAGCGUCUACAAAUUAACAGCUAGGUACUAUGGUGCCCCUAAUUAACUAAUAAUAGGAAGAUGUAUAAGUAUUGAUCAUUCAUUCGUUCCUAAUCAAAAGAAUCUGUGUGAAAGUUUUUGAGCCAUGACUUAAAUUUGUUCUGAAGAACAUGAUAGUAGAGAUUCAUGCAUUUUCAAAGGACAUGAUAAACAUAACAUGGAGAGAGAUUAUCCUAUACCUAAAUCAGAGGCCCAUAGUCUGAAGAAAUUCUCCUACACCUACCCGUCAAAAAAAUAUAUUCUCCUACACCUAAAUCAGAGACCGUAGUCCUGAACAAAUUGUCCGACACCUUGUAUUUCAGUACAGUUGCAAACUGGGUGUUUUGAUGUGAGAUUCACUCAGAGUGAACAAUUGAUAUUAAGUGAUCUGGUUUACUACUAAAUAGUUGGAUCAAUGCUCAAAUCUGAAGUUUGCUACGGGUGUAAAACAGAGAACAACCAUGGAUACUUAAUUCACUCCUUGCGGCCGUCCGUACGGGCGUCGUGGCGCAGACCUCCUGAGGAUGGCCUCCUGCUAGCCUUGCUGAUGCAGGCCUCUCCCUGUGCAUCUCACCACAUCAGAAUUGAUUGGCGCACUUGCUCCUGUCCAAAUUACACCAGUCGCUGCCGCAACCCACAAGCGCACGGCGAUGAGAAUUGAAACGAAGCAAACAAGCAGAGUGGGAGAAGGACCGGGCGUACACGGAGGCGGGGCC
rnacentral:lncRNA from 1 species